UCCAGGCAUACAGUGCAAGCUGCUGAUGGA
rnacentral:piRNA from 1 species